CGCGGCUACACAUGCAGUCGAGCGGUAGCACAGAGAGCUUGCUCUCGGGUGACGAGCGGCGGACGGGUGAGUAAUGUCUGGGAAACUGCCUGAUGGAGGGGGAUAACUACUGGAAACGGUAGCUAAUACCGCAUAACGUCGCAAGACCAAAGUGGGGGACCUUCGGGCCUCAUGCCAUCAGAUGUGCCCAGAUGGGAUUAGCUAGUAGGUGGGGUAAUGGCUCACCUAGGCGACGAUCCCUAGCUGGUCUGAGAGGAUGACCAGCCACACUGGAACUGAGACACGGUCCAGACUCCUACGGGAGGCAGCAGUGGGGAAUAUUGCACAAUGGGCGCAAGCCUGAUGCAGCCAUGCCGCGUGUAUGAAGAAGGCCUUCGGGUUGUAAAGUACUUUCAGCGAGGAGGAAGGCGUUAAGGUUAAUAACCUUAGCGAUUGACGUUACUCGCAGAAGAAGCACCGGCUAACUCCGUGCCAGCAGCCGCGGUAAUACGGAGGGUGCAAGCGUUAAUCCGGAAUUACUGGGCGUAAAGCGCACGCAGGCGGUCUGUCAAGUCGGAUGUGAAAUCCCCGGGCUCAACCUGGGAACUGCAUUCGAAACUGGCAGGCUAGAGUCUUGUAGAGGGGGGUAGAAUUCCAGGUGUAGCGGUGAAAUGCGUAGAGAUCUGGAGGAAUACCGGUGGCGAAGGCGGCCCCCUGGACAAAGACUGACGCUCAGGUGCGAAAGCGUGGGGAGCAAACAGGAUUAGAUACCCUGGUAGUCCACGCCGUAAACGAUGUCGACUUGGAGGUUGUGCCCUUGAGGCGUGGCUUCCGGAGCUAACGCGUUAAGUCGACCGCCUGGGGAGUACGGCCGCAAGGUUAAAACUCAAAUGAAUUGACGGGGGCCCGCACAAGCGGUGGAGCAUGUGGUUUAAUUCGAUGCAACGCGAAGAACCUUACCUACUCUUGACAUCCAGAGAACUUAGCAGAGAUGCUUUGGUGCCUUCGGGAACUCUGAGACAGGUGCUGCAUGGCUGUCGUCAGCUCGUGUUGUGAAAUGUUGGGUUAAGUCCCGCAACGAGCGCAACCCUUAUCCUUUGUUGCCAGCGGUCCGGCCGGGAACUCAAAGGAGACUGCCAGUGAUAAACUGGAGGAAGGUGGGGAUGACGUCAAGUCAUCAUGGCCCUUACGAGUAGGGCUACACACGUGCUACAAUGGCAUAUACAAAGAGAAGCGACCUCGCGAGAGCAAGCGGACCUCAUAAAGUAUGUCGUAGUCCGGAUUGGAGUCUGCAACUCGACUCCAUGAAGUCGGAAUCGCUAGUAAUCGUAGAUCAGAAUGCUACGGUGAAUACGUUCCCGGGCCUUGUACACACCGCCCGUCACACCAUGGGAGUGGGUUGCAAAAGAAGUAGGUAGCUUAACCUUCGGGAGGGCGCUACCACUUGAU
rnacentral:rRNA from 1 species